rnacentral:rRNA from 1 species
AGUGAACGCUGGCGAUAGGCCUAACACAUGCAAGUCGAACGGCAGCACAGUAAGAGCUUGCUCUUACGGGUGGCGAGUGGCGGACGGGUGAGGAAUACAUCGGAAUCUACUUUUUCGUGGGGGAUAACGUAGGGAAACUUACGCUAAUACCGCAUACGACCUACGGGUGAAAGCAGGGGAUCUUCGGACCUUGCGCGAUUGAAUGAGCCGAUGUCGGAUUAGCUAGUUGGCGGGGUAAAGGCCCACCAAGGCGACGAUCCGUAGCUGGUCUGAGAGGAUGAUCAGCCACACUGGAACUGAGACACGGUCCAGAAUCCUACGGGAGGCAGCAGUGGGGAAUAUUGGACAAAGGGCGCAAGCCUGAUCCAGCCAUACCGCGUGGGUGAAGAAGGCCUUCGGGUUGUAAAGCCCUUUUGUUGGGAAAGAAAAGCAGCAGGUUAAUACCCCGCUGUUCUGACGGUACCCAAAGAAUAAGCACCGGCUAACUUCGUG